rnacentral:tRNA from 1 species
GCGGUCAUCGUAUAGUUUGGUCUAAUACGUUAGCUUGCCAAGUUAAUAACUCGGGUUCAAAUCCCGGUGACCGCA